CACAGCCGCGGUAAUACCGGCGGCCCGAGUGGCGGCCACUAUUAUUGGGCUUAAAGCGUCCGUAGCCGGGUUGGUUAGUCUCCCGGGAAAUCUGGCCGCUUAACGGUCAGAAUUCCGGGAGAUACUGCCAGCCUAGGGACCGGGAGAGGCCGAGGGUAUUCCCGGAGUAGGGGUGAAAUCCUAUAAUCCCGGGAGGACCACCUGUGGCGAAGGCGCUCGGCUGGAACGGGUCCGACGGUGAGGGACGAAGGCCAGGGGAGCAAACCGGAUUAGAUACCCGGGUAGUCCUGGCUGUAAACGAUGCGGACUUUGUGUCGGACAAGCUAUGAGCUUGUCCGGUGCCGGAGGGAAACCGUUAAGUCCGCCGCCUGGGGAGUACGGCCGCAAGGCUGAAACUUAAAGGAAUUGGCGGG
rnacentral:rRNA from 1 species